AAUUAUGCGACAAGGGAAAUCUUGUUUUAUUUGAUUCCGAAGAAUGCUUAGUUUUUCGUCGUAGUGAUUUUAAAAUUAUUCUUCGUGGAAUUAGAAUAGACAAUAUCUAUAUGGUUGAUCUAGAAAAUUCCUCAUCAAGUUUUAUUAAUUGUCUUAUGAGCAAAGAAGACGACAUAUUGGCUAUGGCAUCGUAGAGUAGCUCAUAUAAACAUGAA
rnacentral:lncRNA from 1 species